CAUAGAUCAGUGGUUCUCGGGCCUUGCAGCAAUCCGGAAUCACCGUGGAGGACGACAAGAAGGAAGAUGCCCAUCGCAGACCAACUGAAUCAGAAUCUCCAGGGGUGAUUCUGAUGCACACCACAGAGGGUUCAUGAAGGCCAAGGAGACAUUGGGAUCUCCCAGGAAAGAGAGAAAGAACCGGAUGAAGUGAACAUUUCUGAAACACGUCCAGGAGACAGACUGUUCUCUGGGAGGCUACGAGCUGUCUCUUCUAGCAAAGAAGGGAAAAACGAUGAGUGCCCGGAAGUCAGAUCACUGGAUUAAAAGAGAAACGACAUGAAGAGGCCACAUGCAGGUGCUCUAGCCACAGCCCAGCUAAAGACCCCUCCGUCAGCCAGCAUUAAUCACUAGCCACGUAAGUGGAGAUACCUCCGUAUAAUAUACCAUGCUAGAGUUAUGACCAAGGUAUUAUUAGAGCUGCAGGAGAGAGCAGUUAGUAGUGGUGGUGAUAUCAGGGAAGGCUUUAUCAAAGAGGUGGCAAGUGGGAUAGGCCUUAAAGAAUGGCUAGGCUCUGACCUUGCCCAUGGGUAUAAGGCAGAAUUAGUGUAGACAAGCUAUGACGUG